rnacentral:rRNA from 1 species
UCCUGGCUCAGAUUGAACGCUGGCGGCAGGCCUAACACAUGCAAGUCGAGCGGUAGCACAGAGAGCUUGCUCUCGGGUGACGAGCGGCGGACGGGUGAGUAAUGUCUGGGAAACUGCCUGAUGGAGGGGGAUAACUACUGGAAACGGUAGCUAAUACCGCAUAACGUCGCAAGACCAAAGAGGGGGACCUUCGGGCCUCUUGCCAUCAGAUGUGCCCAGAUGGGAUUAGCUAGUAGGUGGGGUAACGGCUCACCUAGGCGACGAUCCCUAGCUGGUCUGAGAGGAUGACCAGCCACACUGGAACUGAGACACGGUCCAGACUCCUACGGGAGGCAGCAGUGGGGAAUAUUGCACAAUGGGCGCAAGCCUGAUGCAGCCAUGCCGCGUGUAUGAAGAAGGCCUUCGGGUUGUAAAGUACUUUCAGCGGGGAGGAAGGUGUUGUGGUUAAUAACCACAGCAAUUGACGUUACCCGCAGAAGAAGCACCGGCUAACUCCGUGCCAGCAGCCGCGGUAAUACGGAGGGUGCAAGCGUUAAUCGGAAUUACUGGGCGUAAAGCGCACGCAGGCGGUCUGUCAAGUCGGAUGUGAAAUCCCCGGGCUCAACCUGGGAACUGCAUCCGAAACUGGCAGGCUUGAGUCUUGUAGAGGGGGGUAGAAUUCCAGGUGUAGCGGUGAAAUGCGUAGAGAUCUGGAGGAAUACCGGUGGCGAAGGCGGCCCCCUGACAAAGAC